GGGCCCAUAGUUCAGCUGGUUAGAAUAUUUGCAUGGCAUGCAAAAGGUCGAGGGUUCGAAUCCCUCUGGGUCCA
rnacentral:tRNA from 1 species